UCUCCCCACAACAGCUUUGUGCUACAGUAAAACAUCCAGAGCAUCCAGAGAAUAUGGUUCACUUCCCUGGGGGAAGGCAGCAGUACGUCUGUGAGGUGUCUGUGUCCCAGAGAGAAGCAAGAACUUGCUGAGAGAGGCAGAGUAGUUUUCUCCAUCUUUGGCUGAGGUUCCCACCCCAGACCCUUCAGCUCCAACGAGCUUUCCAGUGCCAUGGAGAUUGAGGUGCCUGAAGAUUUGGCAGCAACCAGCUGGCUUGCAGAGGAAGAGAUGCUGUGGUGCUUGGCUGCAGUGGGGAUUCCUCCAAGGUCCGAGAAUUCCUAGCUGCAGUCCUCUGUUUCAGCCCUCUCCCAUGGGAUGAGAUAUAUGAUCCUGUCCUUUGGUCCUUGGUGGACCAGAACAAAUUGAGAGAAUUUGGUGUGUUUUCUCUACUAAUGCUUUCAAAUAUUUAGAUUUUUCUCCCAGCUAUACUGUAAGUUUUGAGUUAUGUUGGAUUGUGCUUACACUGUUGACUAUCUAAAGCUCCGGGGUGUAGAGCUGAGUUUGGAUUGUUCCUUUUAGGGAGACUAUGCACAGCAAGAACAGAACAGAUAUAGAAUGACCAUAGAUUUACCCUGUCAAGACCCAGUCUGGAGCAGCUGACUUGACAAGUGCUGGUAAAUUGCUUCCUCUUGUGUGGCACAAAACAGGUGGAGAAAUCUUGUUAUUUGAACAGAAAAUUCCAUGACGCUCAUAAAGGGGAGGUUGCUGGCUUGUUUUAUGAAAAUAGAGUGCCACAGUGGCAGAAAAGGGCCCUGUAAAAUUUCCUUAUGUGGUUUGACUUUUUUAUUCCAUUUCCCUCUGAGAUAAUUUAAUUUUAUAAUUGCUGCCUGUUGAAGGAGAAGGGAAGAGGUGAAUGAAUGACACCAGCUUAGGCUCUGUAAAAUAAAGGGAGCUCUUUUCCCAGUGCUUCUCUAAACCCUUUGUGAAAACAGGUUCCCUUUCUGCUAGACAGCCACAAAUAGUUUUGUCCACAGUUGCCUUCCACCAAAAAAUAUUGAGAUCCUUUGGAAAAAGUGGGCAAAAUUUCUCAUCCUGCCUUUAAGAUUAUCAGAAGGGAAAUUGAAGCAAUGAUCAUGUUAGCUGUGUUUAUCUGCCUGAGUGAUCAGAAGGCAUAGCCAGGACUAGCACAAAGGAACAUUUUGCUAAUUCUGCAGCUGUCCUUAAUAAAACUCUUCUCAGUUAGAAUCAAAUGAGUGUCAAAAUCUGGCUGAAAGUCAUGUUCAAGAACCCAUGAAUCUUGUCUUGUUCCAAGCAGAAUCUAUAAUUCAGCAUUGAAAGCUUCAGGAGUCUGGACACAACAGCAAAUUUUUAAGAAAAUACUGAACAGGGCUGACUGAUCAUCCCUCCUCCUACUGGUCCCAAGAAAGACCAGUGAAAGGAAACACUCUAAUGCUUGUGAGACUCAUCCUGUGGCAAUUGAUGUGUACUUCUGAAAGAGAGAGGAUUAAAAUGGGAGGAGAGAAGUUACCCUGCGGGAGAUUGUCAACAGAUGUUGCAUUGUAGUUCAAAGAGAGCUAGCAAAAGGCUUCUGCUCCAGGGAUAUAUUAAUUCUGGGCAGUUCAUCACAGGGAGACCUGUUUUAUUACUGGGAGGAUACCUCUGGUAACUUACUUACCUCUUUAUUUGAACUGUGGGUGGAGAAUCUGGUCUACCUGUAAACAGAGAGGGAGCUGAACAGUAGGAACAAACAUGUACUUGUUUUCUUGCAGCUGUGACCACUGUCAUUUUGAUCAAGAUCAAGCUGGUUUUAUGGUUCAGGGGGUUAUUUGAUGGAUCACUGAAUAGAAAAAAUAUUACAGAGGAACUGAGGCUAACCCUUGUUAAACUGCUGGGGCAUGUGAAGCAGACCUGUGUUGAGUACAUCUCUCAAGUACACUUAUUGGACAAGAAGUGGGAGCAAGCACAAGGAAGACUGUGCAGGCUGUCAAGCAAAUGAAUGAAUUGAUCCCAUUCUAUUUAAAAUGCACAAGAUUAUCAACCUAUCUAUGCAUCCUUCAUGUAGCAGUUAAUGAUUUUUUUAUAAAAUCUUACCAACAUUGCAGAAUUAACUAUGGUGGGGGACCUAGUUCACAGCUCUCUAUCAACAGACGUAAUAAGAAGGUCCUCUUCUGGGAGCUUCUAAGUGCUUUAUCUUCUGACAUUGUUUUGAAGUUGUGCUCUGGAUGAAGGUUGAUUUUUUUUCAGAUUGUGAGGAAACAUGACCCCUGUAACAUUAAAAUGAGGAAGAGUCUUCAUUCAAAUGUGUUUGGAUGGGGAAGUUUGAAGCCCAUUGUUAUGUUACAAAGUUCUGGGAGAUUAAAACAAACCAAACCACAAAUGAUUUUGGGAAACUGCUGGGAGACUUUUAUAUUUGCAGUUAUUGUCUUCCAACUUUGCUUGUCACUUCAGUGUGUAUCAGUAGGACUGAAAAUUUGGCUGUUUUAUGGACAGUAAGUACAUGGUUUCUUUUUUCUUUGUGGAGGAUGGAAAGGAAUGAUGGAAAUAAGAUUCCUGUCUCACUUCUGCUGUGCAGUGAAGCAGAGGUAGCCACUACAUGAACAUCACAGGCAGAGGCUCAGGAGCUACACUUAGAAAAACUGUCCCCCUCCCCCCAUGACAAAUCCACAUUUAUAUCUAUUUUAUGUAGUUAUAGAAAAUGAAGUAUAAAUAAUGUGGAGGUAUCCAGCCUCCUGUUUCCUUCACAGGUGUCUGGGAAAUUACAGUGGGCAUUUCUGUUCUCCCCUGGGUAUA